rnacentral:rRNA from 1 species
GACGAACGCUGGCGGCGUGCCUAAUACAUGCAAGUUGAGCGAUGAAGAUUGGUGCUUGCACCAAUUUGAAGAGCAGCGAACGGGUGAGUAACGCGUGGGGAAUCUGCCUUUGAGCGGGGGACGACAUUUGGAAACGAAUGCUAAUACCGCAUAACAACUUUAAACAUAAGUUUUAAGUUUGAAAGAUGCAAUUGCAUCACUCAAAGAUGAUCCCGCGUUGUAUUAGCUAGUUGGUGAGGUAAAGGCUCACCAAGGCGAUGAUACAUAGCCGACCUGAGAGGGUGAUCGGCCACAUUGGGACUGAGACACGGCCCAAACUCCUACGGGAGGCAGCAGUAGGGAAUCUUCGGCAAUGGACGAAAGUCUGACCGAGCAACGCCGCGUGAGUGAAGAAGGUUUUCGGAUCGUAAAACUCUGUUGGUAGAGAAGAGCGUUGGUGAGAGUGGAAAGCUCAUCAAGUGACGGUAACUACCCAGAAAGGGACGGCUAACUACGUG